AAUAAACUAAUGAAAACAUGUAGGAUUUGAGGCGUCCACAGUGGUGGUCUACUUUAUAUCAUAAAUUACAAUUUGAUACAAAUUUAUUUAAUAAUGCUCACAUUUUUCCCAUUUCAUUUCCACUCAUUUCUGAAAAUGACAAAAGCAUUACACACAUUUCAUCCAGCUCUUUACAGCCAUAAGAAAAUUAUGACAAAUCUGUUCAGCAUCGUGGCACUUGGGUUUGGCACAACUUUUUAAACUCCGUUACAACUCUGUACAGUUUCUUCAACACACUCAAAUCAGACUGCAUUUCAGAUACAGAUCCGGGUGUGCAAUGUAUUUUUUAUUAUAAUACAGAUUACGGCCUUCUGGGAGGUGGUGAUGUGUGGUUUGUUAGAAAAAAAAAGGUUUGGAGGCAUCUGUGGCCUCCAUGUCCAGGCCUGAAGGCAGAGGCCAAAGUGCCUUCAAAACGUUGGUAACUAUUUGCAAAACUCUACAGCAUCAGAUCCCAGAAGAUCAUAAUUUCAUAAUCACUGCCAUUAAAACCUCAAAUGCUUCAUACAUUACAGUAAUUUUGACCAUCCAACAUGAAACAAAUUUUAAGUUAUUUAAGCAGGCCGAUGCAAAAUAAGGAUUUUCAGUAAAAACUAAUUAUUUUUAAUUUGCAGUCAUAAUGGAUACCACUGCUAGGUCACAAUACCUGUUAUUAAGAGCAGUAGUUUAAAAGAAAAAUGAACAGGUCUGUACUGUGAUAAUUACAAUACAUAUGAUUUCUCUGUAGAGUGUAAAGUAAAAUAAAAUGCAAGACUUUAGGUUUUCAUAUCAGUCCAUAUUUAUUGUAUAGCCAUUUGAAAGUGAUAAACAUUAUUGAUGUUUCGGUGGAGUUUUUUUCAUAAAAAUUCCAGUAAUACUUGCCACUUUCACAUGGUGUAAUACCCAAAAUUUUAUCUAAUGAUGUGGAAUGAUGUACUUAAUACUGUACAGGAAACUGUAGAGAGCUAAAUACUGAAUGAACCAAAACAGAGCAUAACUUCACAUGCAUGUGUUACAAACCCCUGACCUUUAUAACUCAACAAUAAUUGUGUUUAAAUACUGAUAUUAAGACAACAGUUUACAGCAGAAGGGGGAUACGGUUUUUGGCAUCUUCACAAUGGCAAGUUGCAGAAAUUGGUCUAUCAGCUUUACCACAACUGUCUGUCCACAAUCUGAGAAAAACUAAAUGGAUUUUCAUGAUAUAUGACAUGAGGUUUUCUAAAACCUGUCAGAAUAUUCUAAUGUUAGUUAAAAUGAGAAAACAAUAACAGAGAGUUUCAUGAAGACCUAUGCAUAUUUAUGCAUGAAUCGAAUGUAACUUACUGCAUAUUUAUCGGAACAAAAAAAAGUUUUGCACAGAUGUUGUACAGAAGAAUAAAAACACACAUUUUACAUCUAGUUCACUUCUCCCAAAACUCUUGCAUCUUUUGAGGUAAUUAAACAAAAGGGAGUGCAUGUGCUAGAACUGACAUACUAUGAAUACAUUUUCUUCCGUGUUUAAAUCAAUAAUUUUCUGUGAUAGUGGAAUCCUCAGAAGAUACCAAAGGUGUGACUUUCAGAUGACAGCUCAACCUAUUACUGAAAUGUAAGCCACACUGCAGCAUCUCUUUAAAAGAUCCCAGAAUCGAUGCUUUGAAAUUAUUUUGGUUUGUGCUAGAUGUCACUAGACACCAGAGGGAACGUGGUGGGAGGAUUAUCAGCUUCCUCUGGGCAUGGUACAGUCUCCAGAUUUUUUAUUGUUAUGUCAUGUCACAUUUCAUUUGGCGCAAAAAUAAUUUGUUUUCAAAGUUGUCAAGACUCUGCCAAACAGCAUGACCAUCUCAUACAAAUACUGAUGCCAAGAUCCAGAAUCUGAAAUGUUAUACAUCCUGUUUACCCACUGUGCAAGAGAAAUAUGUCAAUGACAUUUGUAUUCCGAUCUCUCGGUCCAGAGACAGUACAAUGUCAUAACCUACCAUACUAGACCUAACAGCAGUAAUCUUACAAAAAUUAAACUCACAGUAAACUUCAAAGAAGUAGGAGGUUGAUGUAUAUUAUCCUAAAGUAUUUCUACAAAAGUUUUACACUGUAUAGUAACAGGCAAUGAGAAGGUUGAAAGACCAGAGACUGUGAACUCUUAAUAUUUAUGGAAAAUUUCUCAUUUUUACAUCAAGUGAAAAUUACUACAAUCUUUGAACUGGCAGUACUAGAAAUAUGUUGUUUGUUGUUACUGUGAAUGCAUGGAGAAGGCCUGAUUCACAGUGAUAUCUCAGUUAUGUCAUAUUUACUACCAACAGAAGAAAUGACUGUGAUUUUCAAGUUGGACAGGAGAAGCUGCAUUUUUGAUCAAGUGAAGUGGGCCUUACAAAGCAUCAGAACAUGUUGGUGAUCUGGGAAAAAAUUUGCUUCCUAUCUGAAAGAACAAACAUAGAACUUACACAGGGUUGAUAAGAAAAAUCACAAAUUCAAGCAAACAGAACUGCCACUCUUCCAGAGAAGUAUGCUAUGUCUGGUAAACUGGUAAAUGAACUGAUUCUUUUGCAUUAAAAACAUUAAACAAAAUGCGAUGUAGCAGAUAUCUAAAGUAGGCCUUCUGUGGUGUCCAUUAACUGUUAUCAUCCAGAUCUAAAUCUACUACACUUGAUGGUAAUGGGAUUUAUACUGUAAACAGUACGACCUUGGGCCUCUUUAACCAAUGCAUAAAUGGCCAUAGAUGUACAAUGCACGGUAAGAGCAUACAGUCCAGCACAUUCAUCAUUAUACGAGUCAUCAAUCUCUAUGUUUUUGAGUCAUGAUAUAGUGAUGGUGCAUGUGAUGGUCCAGUUGGCCUGGCAACACAUUUUUUCACUAUAAAUAACAUUAACAUCUGUGAUUUAAAACCAAGCUGUCAGGGUCUUGGUAGCAUGAGAUUCAAACUUUCUGUUUCCAGUUGACAGAGUUAUUUUUUGAGGAGAAAAUUUUAGAUCAGAAAUAUAGGUAUGCACUUGGAGGCAAAAUGACCAGAUGAAACUGUUGGGUAAAAGCAUUAAGACAUUUCACGAACAAACAACUGAAGGAAAAAAGAAACAGAGCAAAGUACAGGCAAUUAGGUUUGGCAACAGUUUGAUGUUAUGAUAUAUUAGCUAGGAUCCAACUUGUAGUGUUGUCACAAAAGAAAUGGAGAGUGGGAAAUUUUAAUUGCCACUGCAUUAAUACUAUUUUUAUUAACACAAAAGUAUAAUAUUCGUUAAAUUCCUUAAAGUUUCACACAUACUCAAAUAUAUGUAAAGCCCAAUAUGAUAGGGUUUCAUAAAUGUUACCAUAUUACUAAAACAUCUGUUCAUCAGGACUAUAGACAUCACAUUAAUAAUACUGAUUCAUUAUGGUAUCACUCAUGCAUACAAAACUGGGACUUUUUAAAAAAAAUACACUUAAUAUCACUUUUACUUAUGGUGAACCCAACAUGUUUCCAAAUAACUUAACUGGGUUAUCAUCUAAUUGAAAAUGCUGUGGUGAAAUGUGUUCGUUAACAAAAUGAAAGAUGGUAUUACUGUAACUUCAUAAAUCAUCUAGUGAGGAUAUAUUUAAAUGAAAUUUACAAUUGAAAUAUUUGUUAAUGUGUAAGUAUAAAUACAGUAUAUCUGUGCAGAGAAUAAAAAAUACAGUAACUUUAAGUACAAUGCUACCAAUCAAACAGCACUGAAUAUAACAAAUAAAUGUUUCUAUAUUUCACUUAGUCAUUCCCCCUUUUUUCAGUGUUGACAACAUUGGAUGUGCAGUAUUUUUGUAUGAGAUCAUGUGAUCAUAUUUUGAAAAGUAUUCUUGGCCUACAGCUUCCAAUUUGCCUAUUAUCCAGCAGUCAUGUCUGGUUCAAAGAAAAAUUAAAUUUGGAUAUACCUUAUUUUGAAAAUCACAGGUCUAUUACAAACAAUAACCUGGCACAAAAUAACUUUCACCUAUUUGUUUAUUCUUCUUCCUUACACAUUUCCACUUUGUGUGUCUCUCCUAGCAUACCAAGUCUAUCCAUCUAUCCCAUCUUCCCAAAACUCCUCCUCAGUUUCUUCCAGUACUCAUCACUCUGUUAUUCCAUCUUGACCUUGGUCUUCAUUUUUGCUGUUUUCCUUUUAGAUUCAUGUGCAAAACCUGGUUUGGAAUUCUGUUCUUAUUUUUUCUUAAAAACAUGCCUAUUAUUCAUAAAUGUCUCAAACACAGAAAUUAAUUUUUGCUCUAACAUCUUUUGUGGCUUAUUUUACAAUGCUACCAGUAUCUCAGACUACAUAUCAUCAAAUGGCAGUACGACUGAAGAAUUGUGGUCACAGUCUAAUAGAGGUACCUGCCUGGAAAGGAUGAGGAAGACCACAAGAAACCUCAGUCCAGACAGCCAGUUACCCAGUUUCCUGGGCUACAGCACUGUGCACUCUCAUACUGAGGAUCACAUUGCUUCCAACUUCAGCAUACAAGUGAACCUGGAUCAACAUCAAGGGUGAAGCCUCUGGGACCAUGUCGGUCAUGUGGGUGCCAGGA